GAGGAGGUAGUGACGAAAAAUAACGGGACCGUUCUCUAUGAGGCCGGUCAUCGGAAUGGGCACAGUCUAAAUCCCUUAACGAGGAUCUAUGAGAGGGCAAGUCUGGUGCCAGCAGCCGCGGUAAUUCCAGCUCUCAAAGUGUAUAUCGUCAUUGCUGCGGUUAAAAAGCUCGUAGUUGGAUCUGCGCCGUAGAACUUGGUCCGCUCACUGAGCGUGAACUGAGCUUCUCGGCUAUUAUGGCUGGUUUUCCCUUCGUUGCCUUCAUCGGUUGCGUAGGGUGGCUGGCGAAUUUACCUUGAAAAAAUUAGAGUGCUUCAAACAGGUUUUCGCCUGUAUAUCUGUGCGUGGAAUAAUGGAACAGGAUUUCGGUCCUAUUUUGUUGGUUUUCUGAGCCGAAAUAAUGGUUAAGAGGGACAGACGGGGGCAUUCGUAUCGCUGCGCGAGAGGUGAAAUUCUUGGACCGUA
rnacentral:rRNA from 1 species